AUUGAACGCUGGCGGAAUGCUUUACACAUGCAAGUCGAACGGCAGCACGGGGGCAACCCUGGUGGCGAGUGGCGAACGGGUGAGUAAUACAUCGGAACGUGCCCGGUCGUGGGGGAUAACGUAGCGAAAGUUACGCUUAUACCGCAUACGAUCUGAGGAUGAAAGCGGGGGACCUUCGGGCCUCGCGCGAUCGGAGCGGCCGAUGUCAGAUUAGGUAGUUGGUGGGGUAAAGGCCUACCAAGCCGACGAUCUGUAGCUGGUCUGAGAGGACGACCAGCCACACUGGGACUGAGACACGGCCCAGACUCCUACGGGAGGCAGCAGUGGGGAAUUUUGGACAAUGGGCGCAAGCCUGAUCCAGCCAUUCCGCGUGCAGGACGAAGGCCUUCGGGUUGUAAACUGCUUUUGUAUGGAACGAAAAGGCUCUGGCUAAUACCUGGGGUUCAUGACGGUACCGUAAGAAUAAGCACCGGCUAACUACGUG
rnacentral:rRNA from 1 species